rnacentral:rRNA from 1 species
AACGUAGGAGACAAACGUUAUCCGGAGUUACUGGGCGUAAAGGGCGUGUAGGUGGUUUCGUAAGUCUGGCGUGAAAUUUUUCGGCUUAACCGGGAAAGGUCGUCGGAUACUGCAGAACUAGAGGACGGUAGAGGCGUGUGGAAUUCCGGGUGUAGUGGUGAAAUGCGUAGAGAUCCGGAGGAACACCAGUGGCGAAGGCGACACGCUGGGCCGUACCUGACGCUGAGGCGCGAAAGCUAGGGGAGCAAACAGG